GAUGAAGAACGUAGCGAAAUGCGAUAAGUAAUGUGAAUUGCAGAAUUCAGUGAAUCAUCGAGUCUUUGAACGCACAUUGCGCCCCCUGGUAUUCCGGGGGGCAUGCCUGUCCGAGCGUCAUUGCCGCCCUCAAGCACGGCUUGUGUGUUGGGCCCCCGCCCCCCAGCUUCGGGGGGCGGGCCCGAAAGGCAGCGGCGGCACCGCGUCCGGUCCUCGAGCGUAUGGGGCUUCGUCACCCGCUCUGUAGGCCCGGCCGGCGCCCGCCGGCGACCCCAAUCAAUCUUUCCAGGUUGACCUCGGAUCAGGUAGGGAUACCCGCUGAACUUAAGCAUAUCAAUAAGCGGAGGA
rnacentral:misc_RNA from 1 species